rnacentral:rRNA from 1 species
UACGUAGGGGGCAAGCGUUGUCCGGAAUCAUUGGGCGUAAAGAGCGUGUAGGCGGCUUGGUAAGUCCGCUGUGAAAGUCCAGGGCUCAACCCUGGAAAGCCGGUGGAAACUGUCAAGCUUGAGUCCGGAAGAGGCGAGUGGAAUUCCUGGUGUAGCGGUGAAAUGCGCAGAUAUCAGGAGGAACACCAAUGGCGAAGGCAGCUCUCUGGGUCCCUACCGACGCUGGGGUGCGAAAGCAUGGGGAGCAAACAGG